CGUUGAAACAUUGCUUCCCAUACGAUCACCGAAAUUAAGCAACGUCGAGCCUGGUUAAUACCUGGAUCGGUGACUAUUUGAGAAUAGUAGGUGC